rnacentral:rRNA from 1 species
GAUGAACGCUAGCGGCAGGCCUAACACAUGCAAGUCGAGGGGCAGCACGUCUUCGGAUGGUGGCGACCGGCGCACGGGUGCGUAACGCGUAUGCAACCUACCUCUUACAGUGGGAUAGCCCAGAGAAAUUUGGAUUAAUACCGCAUAGUAUACAGAUUCAGCAUUGGGACUGUAUUAAACAUUUAUGGGUAAGAGAUGGGCAUGCGUUCUAUUAGUUAGUUGGAGUGGUAACGGCACCCCAAGACAGCGAUAGAUAGGGGCCCUGAGAGGGGGAUCCCCCACACUGGUACUGAGACACGGACCAGACUCCUACGGGAGGCAGCAGUGAGGAAUAUUGGACAAUGGCGAGAGCCUGAUCCAGCCAUGCGCGUGCA